GUUUUUUUUGCAGUUAGCAUGGAUGGCUUAAUCUCCCCUGAGAGUUAAGUCUGUAAGAAGAAACAAAGCGGAUAUUCUAAUUGCUCAUCAAGCAUGAUCACAUUUCAAAGAAUAAUCGCAUACAUUUGGAAUACCUCUUCAAAGACUGUUUAUUGUGAAAUUCACUUUAUGAUUCUUCAUCCUGAGAAGUCUGACUCCUCUGUCAUAG